GACGAACGCUGGCGGCGUGCUUAACACAUGCAAGUCGAACGGAAAGGCCCUGCUUUUGUGGGGUGCUCGAGUGGCGAACGGGUGAGUAACACGUGAGUAACCUGCCCUUGACUUUGGGAUAACUUCAGGAAACUGGGGCUAAUACCGGAUAGGAGCUCCUGCUGCAUGGUGGGGGUUGGAAAGUUUCGGCGGUUGGGGAUGGACUCGCGGCUUAUCAGCUUGUUGGUGGGGUAGUGGCUUACCAAGGCUUUGACGGGUAGCCGGCCUGAGAGGGUGACCGGCCAAAUUGGGAAUGAGAUACGGCCCAGAAUCCUACGGGAGGCAGCAGUGGGGAAUAUUGCAACAUGGGCGGAAGCCUGAUGCCGCAAAGCCGCGUGCGGGAUGAAGGCCUUCGGGUUGGAAACCGCUUUCGCCUGUGACGAAGCGUGAGUGACGGUAAUGGGUAAAGAAGCACCGGCUAACUACGUG
rnacentral:rRNA from 1 species